UCCCAGUAGCUUGGCAGGUAAAGAAUCUGCCUGCAAUGCAGGAGAUCCUGGUUCCAUUCCUGGGUUGGGAA
rnacentral:tRNA from 1 species